AACGAACGCUGGCGGCAUGCCUAACACAUGCAAGUCGAACGAGAUCUUCGGGUCUAGUGGCGCACGGGUGCGUAACGCGUGGGAAUCUGCCCUUUGGUUCGGAAUAACAGUUGGAAACGACUGCUAAUACCGGAUGAUGACGAAAGUCCAAAGAUUUAUCGCCAGAGGAUGAGCCCGCGUAGGAUUCGCUAGUUGGUGUGGUAAAGGCGCACCAAGGCGACGAUCCUUAGCUGGUCUGAGAGGAUGAUCAGCCACACUGGGACUGAGACACGGCCCAGACUCGUACGGGAGGCAGCAGUGGGGAAUAUUGGACAAUGGGCGAAAGCCUGAUCCAGCAAUGCCGCGUGAGUGAUGAAGGCCUUAGGGUUGUAAAGCUCUUUUACCCGGGAUGAUAAUGACAGUACCGGGAGAAUAAGCUCCGGCUAACUCCGUGCCAGCCGCCGCGGUAA
rnacentral:rRNA from 1 species